rnacentral:snoRNA from 10 species
CAGAUACUAUGAUGGUUGCAUAGUUCAGCAGAUUGAAUCAUGAAGAGAUGUACUAUCUGUCUGAUGUAUCUG